rnacentral:tRNA from 1 species
GGGCGAGUGGUGGAAUGGUAUACACAAUGGACUUAAAAUCCAUUGCUCCAUUUGUGAGCAUGAGGGUUCGACUCCCUCCUCGCCCACCA